ACCAGGCUGGCUCAGUUGGUAGAGCAUGUGACUCUAGAUCUCAAGGUCAUGAGUUCGAGCUCCAUGCUGGGUC
rnacentral:tRNA from 1 species